rnacentral:rRNA from 1 species
CCCUUAGAUGUUCUGGGCAGCACGCGCGCUACAAUGGUCUUCGCAAACGGAUGCAUUCUCGAAGGAGAAUGCCAAUCUUGGAAUCUAUGCCUUGGUCGGGACAGUUGCUUGCAAUUUUUCGACUCGAACCAGGAAUUCCUUGUAAUCGUGAUUCAUCACAUCACGAUGAAUACGUCCCUGCCCUUUGUACACACCGCCCGUCGCUCCUACCGAUUGAAUGUUUCGGUGAAGAUUCCGGAUAGGACUUUUUUGAUUUAUUUCAAUUUUGUCUUAAAAGCUAUCUAAACCUCAACAUUUAGAGGAAGGUGAAGUCGUAACA